AGCAGCCUCUGCCCCCCGUCCCCCCGCAGUACCAGGUUCCCGGGAACCUGAGUGCAGCUCAGGUGGCCGCGCAGAAUGCAGUGGAGGCUGCCAAGAACCAGAAGGCUGGGCUGGGCCCUCGCUUCUCGCCCAUCACCCCUCUCCAACAAGCUGCUCCCGGAGUGGGUCCCCCCUUCAGCCAGGCCCCAGCUCCCCAACUACCCCCAGGACCCCCUGGCGCCCCCAAGCCACCACCUGCUUCCCAGCCCAGUCUGGUCUCCACUGUGGCCCCUGGCUCCGGCCUGGCUCCCACGGCACAGCCCGGGGCACCGUCCAUGGCAGGCACUGUGGCCCCAGGAGGGGUGAGCGGCCCUUCCCCAGCCCAGCUGGGAGCCCCAGCCCUCGGUGGGCAGCAGUCAGUCUCCAAUAAGCUUCUGGCCUGGAGCGGGGUCCUGGAGUGGCAAGAGAAACCCAAACCUGCCUCAGUGGAUGCCAACACCAAGCUGACGCGGUCACUGCCCUGCCAGGUCUACGUGAAUCAUGGCGAGAACCUGUAGGUGACACAGUGGCCCCAGAAGCUGAUCAUGCAGCUCAUCCCCCAGCAGCUGCUGACCACCCUGGGCCCUUUGUUCCGGAACUCAAGGAUGGUCCAGUUCCAUUUCACCAACAAGGACCUGGAGUCUCUCAAAGGCCUCUACCGCAUCAUGGGCAACGGCUUCG
rnacentral:lncRNA from 1 species